AUGUCUCCGGCACGUUGGUGCAGGGGGAUGAGGGCCGCGGUGGCUGCCAGCUUGGGGUUGAGCGAGGGGCCCGCUGGCUUCCGGAGCGGCCGCCCCCUCUGCUCGCCCGGCCCUGCUCCGGCGGCUCCCGGCUCGGCUGUUGAGGCUCCCAGGGAGCGGGGCCGUGCAGGCCGCAAGCCCGGAGCGCGCAGGCUGGACCGAGGCGCGGCGGCCGCUGUGGCCGAGCUGCGCGCCGGCGCGCUGGUGGCCGUCCCCGCCGGUACGCCGUAGGGCCCGGCCUGCGCGGCGAGCUGCUCGGCCGCCCUGCGCACUGGAUACCGCCUCAAGGGCCGCAGCGAGGCCCAGCCCCUGGCCGUGUGCCUGGGCCGCGUGGCCAACGUCUACAGAUGUGAGCCCGAGGGGCCCUUAAACACCUGCUGCCAGGACCAGUGACCCUGGUGAUGGGACGGACACUCGGAGAACUAAAAACCCUUUUACGCCUCUUGCAGGCAUCCGGAUUCCUGAUCAUGCCCUUAUGCACGACUUGGCUCGGAUGUUUGAGGGUCCUCUUGCUCUCACUAGCGCCAGCCUCAGCUCACAGGCCAGUUCUCUGUGUUGAGGAGUUCCAGGAUCUCUGGCCCCAAUUGUCCUCGGUCAUUGAUGGGAGACAAAUUGGGGGUAGCCAGAGCCCUGCGUGUCGCCUGGGGUCAACUGCGGUUGAUUUGUUCGUGCCUGGAAAGUUUGGCAUCAUCCAUCCAGGCUGUGCCCGGGAAAGUACCAGAGCCAUCCUCCUACAGAAGUGCAGGCUGCUCCCCUCACGUGCGUCCUACCUGUGAAACUGGGAAGCAGGAAGGCCCAAGGCCUGGUGCUGGAUUCUAUAUGUCUGUCCACUGACGACUGGCAAGGCCUCAUUUGCAGAGGCCACUGGAACUAGGGCACUAGCCUGACUUUUUAGGCAAUGUGUCUUUCUGAGAACUGCAGACCAAGCCCCAGAAGCUGCUGGUUUAGCCUUGCACCUGGGGAAACUGUAUUUAUUAUUCGUGGUUUCAUGUAUCAGCCAAAAGCUGAAUGGAAAAGUUAAGAACUUUCCUAAGUGGCCUUAUUUUAAUAAGUUUCUUCUGUCUGUUUUGUUUUUCAAUUGAAAAGUAAUUUAAAUAACAGAUUUAGAAUCUG